rnacentral:rRNA from 1 species
GACGAACGCUGGCGGCGUGCUUAACACAUGCAGGUCGAACGGAAAGGCCCCUUUGGGGGUACUCGAGUGGCGAACGGGUGAGUAACACGUGAGUAACCUGCCCUUGACUUCGGGAUAACUUCAGGAAACUGGGGCUAAUACCGGAUAGGAAUCCUUACUGCAUGGUGGGGGUUGGAAAGCUUCGGCGGUUUUGGAUGGACUCGCGGCUUAUCAGCUUGUUGGUGGGGUAGUGGCUUACCAAGGCUUUGACGGGUAGCCGGCCUGAGAGGGCGACCGGCCACAUUGGGACUGAGAUACGGCCCAGACUCCUACGGGAGGCAGCAGUGGGGAAUAUUGCACAAUGGGCGGAAGCCUGAUGCAGCAACGCCGCGUGCGGGAUGACGGCCUUCGGGUUGUAAACCGCUUUCAGCAGGGGCGAAGCUUGUGGUGACGGUACCUGCAGAAGAAGCACCGGCUAACUACGUG